rnacentral:tRNA from 1 species
GGGGAUAUAACUCAGUUGGUAGAGUGCUUGUCUGGCAUGCAAAGGCCUUGGUUCAAUCUCCAGCACCCCCU